rnacentral:rRNA from 1 species
AUUGAACGCUGGCGGCAUGCCUUACACAUGCAAGUCGAACGGCAGCACGGACUUCGGUCUGGUGGCGAGUGGCGAACGGGUGAGUAAUGCAUCGGAACGUGCCCAGUUGUGGGGGAUAACUGCUCGAAAGAGCAGCUAAUACCGCAUACGACCUGAGGGUGAAAGCGGGGGAUCGCAAGACCUCGCGCAAUUGGAGCGGCCGAUGUCAGAUUAGGUAGUUGGUGGGGUAAAGGCCUACCAAGCCGACGAUCUGUAGUUGGUCUGAGAGGACGACCAGCCACACUGGGACUGAGACACGGCCCAGACUCCUACGGGAGGCAGCAGUGGGGAAUUUUGGACAAUGGGCGCAAGCCUGAUCCAGCAAUGCCGCGUGCAGGAAGAAGGCCUUCGGGUUGUAAACUGCUUUUGUCAGGGAAGAAAUCCUCUGGGUUAAUACCCCGGGGGGAUGACGGUACCUGAAGAAUAAGCACCGGCUAACUACGUACCAGCCGCCGCCGUAACAC